GAUGAACGCUGGCGUGCCUAAUACAUGCAAGUCGAGCGAACAGAUGAGGAGCUUGCUCCUCUGACGUUAGCGGCGGACGGGUGAGUAACACGUGGAUAACCUACCUAUAAGACUGGGAUAACUUCGGGAAACCGGCGCUAAUACCGGAUAAUAUAUUGAACCGCAUGGUUCAAUAGUGAAAGACGGUUUUGCUGUCACUUAUAGAUGGAUCCGCGCCGCAUUAGCUAGUUGGUAAGGUAACGGCUUACCAAGGCAACGAUGCGUAGCCGACCUGAGAGGGUGAUCGGCCACACUGGAACUGAGACACGGUCCAGACUCCUACGGGAGGCAGCAGUAGGGAAUCUUCCGCAAUGGGCGAAAGCCUGACGGAGCAACGCCGCGUGAGUGAUGAAGGUCUUCGGAUCGUAAAACUCUGUUAUUAGGGAAGAACAAAUGUGUAAGUAACUAUGCACGUCUUGACGGUACCUAAUCAGAAAGCCACGGCUAACUACGUG
rnacentral:rRNA from 1 species